rnacentral:rRNA from 1 species
GGGUGAGUAACACGUGGGUGAUCUGCCUUGCACUCUGGGAUAAGCUUGGGAAACUGGGUCUAAUACCGGAUAGGAACCGUCUUUAGUGUGGUGGUUGGAAAGUUUUUCGGUGUCAAGAUGAGCUCGCGGCCUAUCAGCUUGUUGGUGGGGUAAUGGCCUACCAAGGCGUCGACGGGUAGCCGGCCUGAGAGGGUGUACGGCCACAUUGGGACUGAGAUACGGCCCAG